rnacentral:rRNA from 1 species
GAUGAACGCUAGCUACAGGCUUAACACAUGCAAGCCGAGGGGAAACGGCAUUGAGUGCUUGCACUCUUUGGACGUCGACCGGCGCACGGGUGAGUAACGCGUAUCCAACCUUCCCAUUACUGUGGGAUAACCUGCCGAAAGGCAGACUAAUACCGCAUAGUCUUCGAUGACGGCAUCAGAUUUGAAGUAAAGAUUUAUCGGUAAUGGAUGGGGAUGCGUCUGAUUAGCUUGUUGGCGGGGUAACGGCCCACCAAGGCGACGAUCAGUAGGGGUUCUGAGAGGAAGGUCCCCCACAUUGGAACUGAGACACGGUCCAAACUCCUACGGGAGGCAGCAGUGAGGAAUAUUGGUCAAUGGACGGAAGUCUGAACCAGCCAAGUAGCGUGCAGGAUGACGGCCCUAUGGGUUGUAAACUGCUUUUGUAUGGGGAUAAAGUUAGGGACGUGUCCCUAUUUGCAGGUACCAUACGAAUAAGGACCGGCUAAUUCCGUGCCAGCAGCCGCGGUAAUACGGAAGGUCCAGGCGUUAUCCGGAUUUAUUGGGUUUAAAGGGAGCGUAGGCUGGAGAUUAAGUGUGUUGUGAAAUGUAGACGCUCAACGUCUGAAUUGCAGCGCAUACUGGUUUCCUUGAGUACGCACAACGUUGGCGGAAUUCGUCGUGUAGCGGUGAAAUGCUUAGAUAUGACGAAGAACUCCGAUUGCGAAGGCAGCUGACGGGAGCGCAACUGACGCUUAAGCUCGAAGGUGCGGGUAUCAAACAGGG